rnacentral:rRNA from 1 species
GAUGCGCCAUGCCGCGUGUAUGAAGAAGGCCUUCGGGUUGUAAAGUACUUUCAGCAGUGAGGAAGGUGGUGAUGUUAAUAGCAUUAUCAUUUGACGUUAGCUGCAGAAGAAGCACCGGCUAACUCCGUGCCAGCAGCCGCGGUAAUACGGAGGGUGCGAGCGUUAAUCGGAAUUACUGGGCGUAAAGCGCAUGCAGGCGGUCUGUUAAGCAAGAUGUGAAAGCCCGGGGCUCAACCUCGGAACAGCAUUUUGAACUGGCAGACUAGAGUCUUGUAGAGGGGGGUAGAAUUUCAGGUGUAGCGGUGAAAUGCGUAGAGAUCUGAAGGAAUACCGGUGGCGAAGGCGGCCCCCUGGACAAAGACUGACGCUCAGAUGCGAAAGCGUGGGGAGCAAACAGGAUUAGAUACCCUGGUAGUCCACGCCGUAAACGAUGUCUACUUGGAGGUUGGUGUCUUGAACACUGGCUUUCGGAGCUAACGCGUUAAGUAGACCGCCUGGGGAGUACGGUCGCAAGAUUAAAACUCAAAUGAAUUGACGGGGGCCCGCACAAGCGGUGGAGCAUGUGGUUUAAUUCGAUGCAACGCGAAGAACCUUACCUACUCUUGACAUCCAGAGAAUUCGCUAGAGAUAGCUUAGUGCCUUCGGGAACUCUGAGACAGGUGCUGCAUGGCUGUCGUCAGCUCGUGUUGUGAAAUGUUGGGUUAAGUCCCGCAACGAGCGCAACCCUUAUCCUUGUUUGCCAGCACGUAAUGGUGGGAACUCCAGGGAGACUGCCGGUGAUAAACCGGAGGAAGGUGGGGACGACGUCAAGUCAUCAUGGCCCUUACGAGUAGGGCUACACACGUGCUACAAUGGCGUAUACAGAGGGCUGCCAACCAGCGAUGGUGAGCGAAUCCCAGAAAGUACGUCGUAGUCCGGAUUGGAGUCUGCAACUCGACUCCAUGAAGUCGGAAUCGCUAGUAAUCGUGGAUCAGAAUGCCACGGUGAAUACGUUCCCGGGCCUUGUACACACCGCCCGUCACACCAUGGGAGUGGGCUGCACCAGAAGUAGAUAGCUUAACCUUCGGGAGGGCGUUUACCACGGUGUGGUUCAUGACUGGGUGACG